CUGAGAUCAAGAGUCAGACGCUUAACUGAGUGAGCCACCCAGGCGCCCCAUUCCCAGAUGUGUCUUGGGACAUGUGUUAACAAGCAAGAUGGAAUUUGUAUCAUAUAAUCUGACGUGCACUACAGAAGCAUUUCCAAUUUUAGAAAAAAACUUCAAUUUUACUUAUUAGAAUUCUUUUUAACACUUCAGAAGUAUGUGUCUCCUUGCUGUUAAUUGUAUAUAUACUGUUUAAUUGUAACUGGUAUGUUCUCAACAUCUCAUCUUGAUGAUCUUAAAAGUUUUUUCAAUAUUCUGAAUACUACAUAGAUAUAAAAUAGAACAGCAUAUUCUGAAUUGUCUGGGUGACCAUUGUUCAGUUGACUAAUGAAAUAGAUAACAGUUCCCACAUUUAUACUGAAGAUCAAGAAACUACCAAAUAUUUCAACUUCAAUUUCCUUGUGUUAAUGACAAAUGUAACACAUGCAAACUUGUGCCUGGUCAGGCGCAUCUGAGCAUUUGGGGGGCCUGGGGCCACAGCCCAGAUGCAAGCUCCAUAUGUCUAAAUAUUUACAAGUUAUAAAUCAAGCUAAUAAAUACGUAUAAAGCUAUGGCUCUGAAAUGACUGAAAGUUGGCAAACUAUCAAAGAGAACUAACUUUAUUAUUUUUCAUGUCUGGAUAGUCUGUUGAUAUUUGAUAUGAGUAAUAAAAUAAAUACAUACACA